UACGUAGGGGGCAAGCGUUGUCCGGAUUUAUUGGGCGUAAAGAGCGUGUAGGCGGCCAGACAGGUCUGCUGUGAAAACUCGAGGCUCAACCUCGAGACGCCGGUGGAAACCGUUUGGCUAGAGUCCGGAAGAGGAGAGUGGAAUUCCUGGUGUAGCGGUGAAAUGCGCAGAUAUCAGGAAGAACACCCGUGGCUAAGGCGGCUCUCUAGUACGGUACCGACGCUGAGACGCGAAAGCGUGGGGAGCGAACAGG
rnacentral:rRNA from 1 species